rnacentral:tRNA from 1 species
GGGGUUUUAGCUCAGUGGUAGAGCGCUCACCUAGCACGUGAGAGGCACUGGAUUCCA